GGAGUAUGACCGGUCAACGAUGGCGGCCGUAUUUCUAGCCCCUGUAUCUCAAAUUGAACCCAAAAAAAAAAUUGCCCCUGAUCUAUUCAUCUAUAAUUCCGAUCGGGCAUUAUGACAAAGUAGACGUGUAGGCCGCUAGAGUGUACAUCGACAUUUUCCGCAUGUACACUCAACCCUGUACUUUCUGGGUGGGCUAAGCCCCGAAUGUAUUGUGGUCCUAGCGACGCCUCUGGGUGAGACUAUGGGAAAGAUGUGGCUUGACAGCAACGUACCAAGCGUAAAGAGCUGAGUUUCCAGGCUGAGGAUGUGAAAGGAAGCGGACAGGAAGAGAAGGGAAGAGGAAGGGCAAGAGCCUGAGAAAACAGAUUGAGAGGCAGAUAGCCAGAGGGACAAUUCACCACUCAUUCCAGCCCUGCAGAAGAAAUUGGACAAGCAUCUAACUCCCAGACCUCCCAGUGCUGCCAGUCAGUUCUCAUCCAGGGCCCUGUCUACCAGUGCCGGAGUCGUGGAGGAUUUGGGUCCUACGACUAUGGAGGCUUUUCCACCCUCCCCGGUGUCUUGGGUCCAGCUCCCAGAGAUGGUGGAGGAGGGUCCCGGAAUUGGAGCGGAUCGGGAGCCUGUGGUGGCUGCUAGGAGGAUUCAGGAGAAAAAGGAACUGCAUAUAGUAAAUGUGGAUAAAGUGGAGACUUACCUUGAGACAUCUGAGUCGGAGCCCCAACAGGGACUCCUGGUUGCUGCUGCCCCGGGUUUCCCGAUGACGCUUCCUCCGGUUCCAUCUUCUCCUCUUGGAUCACAUCAGGAGAAGGUAGGGGGGUUGGUUCAGGCAGAUGUUGAUUUGGAUACCCUUUCUUCCACUACAAUUAUUAUUCUACCAGGUAAGGAGCCUAGAUCUGUUUGUCAUGAACCAAUUAGACAUCCAAAUUCCACCAAUAAACUUUAUGACUGGGUACUUACCAUUAGAAAACCCAUUGUUAUAAUGGGAGAAUUGAAUAUUUCAAGGAAACCUCAGUUUGCUGAUCUCAGAGUACAGGCAGAUAGCUUCCCGG
ensembl:lncRNA